GAAAACUGAAUAUUCCACAGCACCUAGGCCAGGGAUGUUCAACCUGCGGCUCUAAAGCCACAUGUGGCUCUCCGGCCCCUCCACUGUGGCUCUUAUAAGACCAAAUGCUCCUGUCACUCCAUUUCCCAGGUCAUCAUAGCACUCCCACACACACGGAGCUCUCCUGCAGUAUGCAGUGUAAUGGCCCAAACCACCAGUGGUCAUCUUUCCAUGGAAAGCAAUUAAUGCCCUCAAAGUGAACGAUUUUCCUUGGAGAACCAGGUUGGAGGGAAAUUCGUUCAGUGGAAAUUCUGUUUGGUUUGCAAGAGAUGGAUUGGAGAGUGGCCUGAGGCAGGUAGACUCAGGUAGGCCAAGUCCUGCUUCCACAGCCGUGCCAAGAUGAGCCAUACCAGACUCUUUGAGGACAGAGAUGGCAGGAGAAACAAAUGGCACUUCCCUUGUCAUCCCUUUGC